rnacentral:lncRNA from 1 species
AUGUAUAUUACCAGUAUAUAUGAUACUAUAAAUAUCAAUAUUCUUCUGUAUUUAAUGGUAAACCAAGUUAAAUUUAAAAUGUGAAAUUUACUUAUUUUCACAUACCAGUAAUUUGUAUGAUGAACUGGAAGAAAUAUUAUGGUGAUAGAUGUGAUGUCACAACUUUUUCACAUGAAAACAAUUAUGUUUCACUCUACAUGAAACCAUGUUUCUCUAAAUGGAACUUUUUUGCUCGGAAAGGUGCCAACAUAUGUUUCACACUAGGGCUCAUGGGCAUUAAAUUGGAGAGAAAUAAUAAUAAAUAUAUCAACAUAAUGGGUUGUUUGGAAAGUUCGUGCCGAUUUUGAAGGAAAAUUGAAACUGUAGGAUAUUUAAAUUUUAGUAUAUAUUUAUUAAAUUAUAUAAGUGACAUUCUGUUCUACAAUCUUU